UACGAAGGGGGCUAGCGUUGCUCGGAAUCACUGGGCGUAAAGGGUGCGUAGGCGGGUCUUUAAGUCAGGGGUGAAAUCCUGGAGCUCAACUCCAGAACUGCCUUUGAUACUGAAGAUCUUGAGUUCGGGAGAGGUGAGUGGAACUGCGAGUGUAGAGGUGAAAUUCGUAGAUAUUCGCAAGAACACCAGUGGCGAAGGCGGCUCACUGGCCCGAUACCGUGACGCUGAGGCACGAAGGCCAGGGGAGCAAACGGG
rnacentral:rRNA from 1 species